GUCCUGGCCCUAAACGUUGGGUACUAGGUAGUAGACUAGACAUGGGUUUACUUCCGAAGCAAAAGUGCUAAGUACCCCGCCUGGGGAGUAUGGUCGCAAGGCUGAAACUCAAAGGAAUUGACGGGGCUCACACAAGCGGUGGAGCAUGUGGCUUAAUUCGAGGCUACGCGAAGAACCUUAUCCUGGACUUGACAUGUUCGAAAGAGUUCGCAGGUAGAACCCCGGAAACGGGAACGAACGGUAUCCAAUCCGGAAGCGAACACAGGUGCUGCAUGGCUGUCGU
rnacentral:rRNA from 1 species